CCGAUCAGAGAUGCCUAGUUAUUGCCCUAAAAUUUUCUUUGCCCGACAUGAUUUUAUCAAGGAUAUUUUAUAUCCUAUAGCUAAAUAAUGCAUUAUAUUUACUAUAAAUCAAAAUAUUUAAAAAUAUUACUUUAUAGUCACUUUUAAAUUUUAUAGCAGAGUAUAAAUAUAUAUAAUUGAUCACUCAAUCCUGUCUCUUCUCCUUCAAUUCUCUUUCCCUUUCCCUCUCUCUUCAACAAGGCUGCCGUCUUCAUCGGCGACUGACCACCAUGGCUAGAUCUGUUUAGAUUUUUUGGCGACUCUUCUUCAAAAUUUCUUCUUCUCCAGCGACUUUGCUUCAGAUUUUCAAAAGCUCAAUUCAUAGCCAUGGCCAAAUUUAUUCUCCUGCUCCCUUUUCACUUCCACCAUCGGGAGUCUGCCAUUUUCAUCGUGCCUCCGACUCUUACCUUAACGGAGAGAAUAGAUCUGAAAAUUUCUAGCACGGAUGAAUUUACAUCUAGCUCUGAUAGCUCGAUGAAAAUAAUUGAUCUGAAACUUUUGGUAGAUACAAUGUGAUAAUAUAUUCUCAUAUCUAGUCGGAUUUUUGUUUGUCUUCAUUUUUAGUUUUAAUACAAUGUAUACAAUAUUUUGCUUGGCCGAAAGAAGCCAUCUUUGGUGCACAUUCUUCUGUUCUUAGCGACUAAGUCACAUAUUUUGUACAAAUGACCUUAAAUAAAUUAUAUUUAUGCAUGUAUUUAUAUAUUUUGAAGGUUAUUUUUUAUGACAGAUCUCUAUAUUUUUUGAAUUUUUAUUGUUUGAAUACAACCGAAUAUCAUUUUUUACAUAUAUCUUUUGUUGUUUGAAUACAAUUGAAUUAGAUACAGUGAAAUUGAAUAUAAUGUAAAAUAGUUAAGAAUAAAUAUAACUGAAUUGGAUAUAAUGUAUACAGCCGAAUCGAAUAGAGCAGUAUACACCUUAUUUCUUAAGUUUUGUUGUUU
rnacentral:lncRNA from 1 species